CUGGCUCAGGAUAAACGCUGGCGGCGUGCUUAACACAUGCAAGUCGAACGGAGUGGUUCUCCCGAGGAUUGAAGGUGCUUGCACCAGAUUGACUCAUUGAAUCACUUAGUGGCGGACGGGUGAGUAACGCGUGGGAAACCUGCCCUAUACUGGGGGAUAGCAGUUGGAAACGACUGAUAAUACCGCAUAAGCGCACAGCUUCGCAUGAAGCAGUGUGAAAAACUCCGGUGGUAUAGGAUGGUCCCGCGUCUGAUUAGCUAGUUGGUGAGGUAACGGCCCACCAAGGCGACGAUCAGUAGCCGGCCUGAGAGGGUGUACGGCCACAUUGGGACUGAGACACGGCCCAAACUCCUACGGGAGGCAGCAGCGGGGAAUAUUGGACAAUGGGGGAAACCCUGAUCCAGCCGACGCCGCGUGAACGAUGAAGUAUUUCGGUAUGUAAAGUUCUAUCAGCAGGGAAGAUAAUGACGGUACCUGACUAAGAAGCACCGGCUAAAUACGUGCCAGCCGCAGC
rnacentral:rRNA from 1 species